UACGUAGGGUGCGAGCGUUGUCCGGAAUUAUUGGGCGUAAAGCGCGCGCAGGCGGUUUCUUAAGUCUGAGGUGAAAGGUUCAACGCUCAACGUGAACAGUGCCUUGGAUACUGGGAGGCUUGAGUAUGGGAGAGGGCAGUGGAAUGGCUGGUGUAGCGGUGAAAUGCGUAGAUAUCAGUCGGAACACCCAUGGCGAAGGCAGCUGCCUGGCCUAAUACUGACGCUGAGGUGCGAAAGCGUGGGGAGCGAACGGG
rnacentral:rRNA from 1 species